rnacentral:rRNA from 1 species
GACGAACGCUGGCGGCGUGCCUAAUACAUGCAAGUAGAACGCACAGUUUAUACCGUAGCUUGCUACACCAUAGACUGUGAGUUGCGAACGGGUGAGUAACGCGUAGGUAACCUGCCUGGUAGCGGGGGAUAACUAUUGGAAACGAUAGCUAAUACCGCAUAAUAUUAAUUAUUGCAUGAUAAUUAAUUGAAAGGUGCAAUUGCACCACUACCAGAUGGACCUGCGUUGUAUUAGCUAGUAGGUGAGGUAACGGCUCACCUAGGCGACGAUACAUAGCCGACCUGAGAGGGUGAUCGGCCACACUGGGACUGAGACACGGCCCAGACUCCUACGGGAGGCAGCAGUAGGGAAUCUUCGGCAAUGGACGAAAGUCUGACCGAGCAACGCCGCGUGAGUGAAGAAGGUUUUCGGAUCGUAAAGCUCUGUUGUAAGAGAAGAACGGGUGUGAGAGUUGAAAGUUCACACUGUGACGGUAUCUUACCAGAAAGGGACGGCUAACUACGUG